ACUCCUACGGGAGGCAGCAGUGGGGAAUUUUGGACAAUGGGCGAAAGCCUGAUCCAGCAAUGCCGCGUGAGUGAAGAAGGCCUUCGGGUUGUAAAGCUCUUUUGUCAGGGAAGAAACGGUGAGAGCUAAUAUCUCUUGCUAAUGACGGUACCUGAAGAAUAAGCACCGGCUAACUACGUGCCAGCAGCCGCGGUAAUACGUAGGGUGCAAGCGUUAAUCGGAAUUACUGGGCGUAAAGCGUGCGCAGGCGGUUUUGUAAGUCUGAUGUGAAAUCCCCGGGCUCAACCUGGGAAUUGCAUUGGAGACUGCAAGGCUAGAAUCUGGCAGAGGGGGGUAGAAUUCCACGUGUAGCAGUGAAAUGCGUAGAUAUGUGGAGGAACACCGAUGGCGAAGGCAGCCCCCUGGGUCAAGAUUGACGCUCAUGCACGAAAGCGUGGGGAGCAAACAGGAUUAGAAACCCCUGUAGUCCCA
rnacentral:rRNA from 1 species